UACAGAGGUCUCAAGCGUUGUUCGGAUUCAUUGGGCGUAAAGGGUGUGUAGGUGGCGCCGUAAGUCGGGUGUGAAAUUUCGGAGCUUAACUCCGAAACUGCAUUCGAUACUGCGGUGCUUGAGGACUGGAGAGGAGACUGGAAUUCAUGGUGUAGCAGUGAAAUGCGUAGAUAUCGUAAGGAAGACCAGUGGCGAAGGCGGGUCUCUGGACAGUUCCUGACGCUGAGGCACGAAGGUCAGGGGAGCAAACGGG
rnacentral:rRNA from 1 species